AGGAUGCUCUAGGAGGCUGCACAGAGCGAUCAUCUGCUCCCUGAAUAUUUCCUCAACUGUCAGAUUUUUCUGCAGUGCUUCUGAUACCUUUCCAGUUGCAAGUUCCAGCAGGAGAUUUUCAAAUUGAAACACGAGGUCGUUUCAGAGGUCUCAACAGUUGGUGUAUUUGGAUUUGCUGCAAAUGCUGAAUCUGUGACCAAGUUCUUUUCAAAAGGCUGUGCUCUGGCUCCGUUGGUAAUGUUUUGGGGUUGUUGGAGUGGCUGGAUUUUUCUUGGAAUUGAGCAUUAAAUUCAGAAGACUGAGGCCCAGGUUUACUGUCUACCGUUCACGGAGGCCAAGCCGUGAGAGGACAGAGGAAGAAACUUGGUGAAUCGCGACAGCAGACAAAGAGAAAGAUGGUGAUCGGGACAAGGAGAGAGAGAGAAUGGAUAAAGGAGAGAAUGAGCAUUCCAGGCCACGUCGAAGCUGUACUUUGGAAGGAUGUGCUAACAAUUACGCAGAAAGUGACCACAUCGUAGAUGAAGAAAACGACAAAGACAGUACUACCAAUGAGGAUGCUGGGAAGCAGUCAAAAAUAAAGAAACCACCAAACAAGAUAUCGCUUUGUGAGGGAGCAGAGACCAGUGACAUAACUUCAUUUGUGACAGAGGACGAUGUUGUCUACAGGCCUGGAGCCAAGUAAUACUUCAUGAUUGAUUUUCUGGAGAUUUUAAAAAUACAGUAAUGGAUGUCAACAUGACAAGGAAACAGACUUAUCAAGGGGUACAGAUGACAUCAGCAACUGCAAGUAUAAUUUAAGCCAUGUUUAUCGGUCAUUUAAACUCCAAUUUCAGGUUAUGGCCUUGAGUAAUAAGGUAUUGUAAUGAUGUCAUCUUUGUGUAGUUAAUGUGUAAUGAUGAUCUCCCUCAAAGUUGACUCAGUUAUUUGUCACUUAUUGAAAUAUUUUCUAGUUUGAGUCUGGGAAAAUAUUGCACUGUAGAAUACAUAGAUGAUAACUCAAUAUUGAAAUGUCCAGUUAAACGUAAAAUAGAAUGCAGUCAAUUAUCGUUUACCAUUCUCACCAGAAUACCAGAAAAUAUCACUACCUCACCAUAUAUUCUGCUAGCAUGCUGAAGAAUUUUGGGCAGCAGCCAGAUUUGGAGUUGGAGACUUUUUAUUUGGCAUGUUAAUUUUUAAGAGACAAAUAAACUGCAGAUGCUGGAAACCAAGGUAGGACCUCCGACUCCUCACUUUCUACUCCACCAGCAUCUGCAUCCAACGUGUCAGCCUCAAACACUUGCGCCAGCUCCAAUUAUACCCCAUCACCUGGAAAAUCUUCUACUCCCCGCCCUUGUCUGCCUUCCACAAGGACCAUUCUCUUUGCCACUCCUUAGUUUGCACGACACUGCCCACCAACCACUCCAACCACAUCCCCCUUUCCCUCAGCACCUUCCCCUGUAACUGUAACAGAUGCAACACCUGCCCACACAGCACCUCCCUCACCUCUGUCUAGGACCCUAAACAGUCCUUCCAGGUGAAAGAGAGCUUCACCUGCAUCUCCUUCAACCUAUUCUAUUGGCUCUGGUGCUCCCGAUGUGGUCUUCUGUACAGGGGUGAGACCACAUGUCGAUUAGGUGACCUUCUCGCUGAGUAUUUUCGCCUGGCCUGUAAUGGCCAGCCUAAUCUCCUGGUCACUGGCCACUUCAACCCUCCCUCCCUCCCUGCCCCACAUAUCUGUCCUCUGCCUGUUCCAGUGUUGAAGCAAUUCAGACCACCUAAUCUUUCACCUGGACACCCUACAGCCGGUGGAAUCAACAUUGAGUUCUCUAAUUUCAAACAACCUUCCCACCCAUCCCCUUGCUCCCUUUCCAGCUCCAUCUCCUCCCCUCCAUUCCACCUACUGACUGGUAGUUGGAAGGGACAACCGGAUUAAUCCCUCCCAUUGACCAACCAGGUCAUACCUACUAUUGGUGUCCACCUAUCGCCAGCACUCUGUUACCAUUUCUCCCCCACACAACCGCCGGCCCCCACACCCCCAUCUGCAGCUCACCCUACCCCCACAUCCAACCCUGAAGAAGGGUAAUUCCCGAAACGGUGACUUCUCCUUUCCUCCAGAUGCUGCCUGGCUUGCUGUGUUCUUGCAGCCUGCUGUCUGUCAUGUUAAUUUCUAAUCCUGAAUGAUAAAGAGAAUUACAUUGUGGAAACUGGAAAUUCUUCCCACAACAAUGUGACCCACUGCAUUCAUGAACAUUUCUCUAACCCCCACCAAAAAAACUGUGCUUAUUGAAUUUAUUGUGGAGCCACAUUUUGCCUUUGAAAGUUGAUAGUUUGAUUUAAAAUUUAUUAUAGUGAAUUUGGUGACCAUUUGGAUACUGUAUUAAUGCUGCCCAAUGGCCACCAGUGUUGAUGUUAGAAAUUGUGAAACUAAUACAGUUUAACAUAGCUCCA